rnacentral:rRNA from 1 species
AGGACGAACGCUGGCGGCGUGCUUAACACAUGCAAGUCGAACGAACCUUCGGGUUAGUGGCGAACGGGUGAGUAACACGUGGGCAACCUGCCUCGAGCUCUGGGAUAACACCGGGAAACCGGUGCUAAUACCGGAUAUGAACAGAGAAGGCAUCUUCUCUGUUGGAAAGUUUUUCGGCUCGAGAUGGGCCCGCGGCCUAUCAGCUUGUUGGUGGGGUAACGGCCUACCAAGGCGACGACGGGUAACCGG